rnacentral:lncRNA from 1 species
CCCUCACAGCACGUAUAGGGUAGCCAACAGAGCCAAAGCGUGGUUAACCUCCCUGCCUUUCCCCUUCAUUUCUCUCUCUCUCUCUAUAAUAUCAAGACAAC